rnacentral:rRNA from 1 species
CCUACGGGAGGCAGCAGUGGGGAAUCUUGCGCAAUGGCCGAGAGGCUGACGCAGCGACGCCGCGUGGGGGAUGACGCAUUUCGGUGUGUAAACCCCUGUUGCUCGGGACGAACGAUCCUUUUCGAGGGAUGUGACGGUACCGAGUGAGGAAGCACCGGCUAACUCCGCGCCAGCAGCCGCGGUAAUACGGAGGGUGCGAGCGUUGUCCGGAAUCACUGGGCGUAAAGGGCGCGUAGGUGGUUAGAUGCGCCGGUGGUGAAAGCGCAGGGCUCAACCCUGCGUCGGCCAUCGGGACGGUCUGACUGGAGCACUGUAGAGGCAGGUGGAAUUCCGGGUGUAGCGGUGGAAUGCGUAGAGAUCCGGAAGAACACCGGUGGCGAAGGCGGCCUGCUGGGCAGUGGCUGACACUGAGGCGCGACAGCGUGGGGAGCAAACAGGAUUAGAUACCCUGGUAGUCCACGCCGUAAACGAUGGGCACUAGGUGCUUGGGGGAGCGACCCCCUGAGUGCCGACGCUAACGCAUUAAGUGCCCCGCCCGGGGAGUACGACCGCAAGGUUGAAACUCAAAUGAAUUGACGG